rnacentral:rRNA from 1 species
GACGAACGCUGGCGGCGUGCUUAACACAUGCAAGUCGAACGGAAAGGCCCUGCUUUUGUGGGGUGCUCGAGUGGCGAACGGGUGAGUAACACGUGAGUAACCUGCCCUUGACUGUGGGAUAACUUCAGGAAACUGGGGCUAAUACAGGAUAGGAGCUCCUGCUGCAUGGGGGGGGUUGGAAAGUUUCGGCGGUUGGGGAUGGACUCGCGGCUUAUCAGCUUGUUGGUGGGGUAGUGGCUUACCAAGGCUUCGACGGGUAGCCGGCCUGAGAGGGUGACCGGCCACAUUGGGACUGCGAUACGGCCCAGACUCCUACGGGAGGCAGCAGUGGGGAAUAUUGCACAACGGGCGGAAGCCUGAUGCAGCAACCCCGCGUGCGGGAUGACGGCCUUCGGGUUGUAAACCGCUUUCGCCGGUGACGAAGCGUGAGUGACGGUAAUUGGUAAAGAAGCACCGGCUAACUACGUG